rnacentral:sRNA from 1 species
UCAUAAACCCGACAACAGCGAAAAUACUUUUUGUUAUCCUGACAAAUAGAUUGCCAUGUCGUUCCUCCUGGCAAUGACGGUAUUAAUGGCAGUAAAGGAUGACAAAAAGAUUGCAGCGAAUGGCGGGACCGUAG